CAGAGGCAGCGCGGGCAGGGACAAUGUGGCUGAUUCAUGUGCCGUGGCCCACCGUAGCCGUAACUUCAGGUUCUGGUUUCCUAGGAUCUUUCUGAGGAGUGAGCGUGAGAGGGAGAGAGAGAGAGAAAGACUUUUCCAGGCAUUUACAGUACUUUUCAUUCAGAAAGACCUCUGGUCCCGCUCAGGCAUCAGUACCUGUGUACAGCUGCUACCUCUAUACCCCCAAUAAAUACAGAUAGGAUGGGCUUCAAUUACAUUGGUCCCAGUGUUUGUGCCUGAGAUAGAGCACUUGUCUGAGAUUGUGAGCCUCAUUAGGGACAGAAACAUAUGUGAACGAUGGAAAUCAUUGUACAGUACUGCAGAAUAUGUUGGCAAUUUGUGAGCAACAGUGAAUAAAUCAAAUCUAUAAAUUGUAUGAAAUGUACAGGUCACUGCUUCCUGCAAGAUCAUUAUAUUCCUCUCUUGCUGCUGUCAUUAAUUUCAUGAUCUUCUUUCCAUCUCAUAAUCCAGUAAAGAACAAUAAUAGUACCAUACGUAAGAGCCAUAGAAUUACCCAAUGUUCUACCCCAGUUCCACAUUAUUGGAAUUUCACUGUUGUAAAAUACAAGACAAGACCAUCAAGACACUCAUCACACAUAACUCAAUAUGGUCGAGUAACUGUCUAGCGUAUGCCAAAGUUUUUAUGGUAGACGUUGACAUCUUUUUUAUUGCUGACAUCUUUCUG